UACGUAGGGUGCAAGCGUUGUCCGGAAUUAUUGGGCGUAAAGAGCUCGUAGGCGGUCUGUCGCGUCGGCUGUGAAAUCUCGGGGCUCAACCCCGAGCCUGCAGUCGAUACGGGCAGACUAGAGUGCUGUAGGGGAGACUGGAAUUCCUGGUGUGAGCGGUGAAAUGCGCAGAUAUCAGGAGGAACACCGGUGGCGAAGGCGGGUCUCUGGGCCGAUACUGACGCUGAGGAGCGAAAGCGUGGGGGAGCGAACAGG
rnacentral:rRNA from 1 species